CUGAGGCAUGACGUGGGAUGGGAGCCUGCCGAGCCAACCGAGGCAAGGAAACCUCUCGAGCCAGCUAAGGUGUGGAAGCCCGAUGAGCCAGCUGAGGAACCCCCGGUUCCAUCCGUGGCGACACCCGGACACCACAGUCACCACCGAGAACACAAACUCCCUGAUGUUUCAAAUAGUGGUGUCAGCAUUCUGUAAGGACUGACGCUGGAGACGAGAAGCAAGUACAGGGAGUGAACAUUUAAUGAAACAACAGACAUCAAACAAAACAAGAACAGCAUCUAGACAAGGAGAACACAACGACAUGACGACAACAAUGCUGACACGGGGAACCAACGGUGAAAUAGACAGAUAUAGAGGGGCAACAAAGUGAAGGAGUCCAGGUGACAUCCCUUGGACCAUCCAUCACUGGCCUGGGGUCCCUUAUCGAUAUGCCUUAUGGCGGUGAGGAGCAGAACAUGAUCCACUUGUUCCCCAACAUCUGUUAUUCAGUAUCUGACUGUGUCUGGACAAGUCAACUAUAAUAUCUUGAGUAAAGCAACAUCUUACAUGAUGAAAGGUGUGCUGCUUAUAUUCAUAUUCAUAUUCAGCCUAAUAGUUAAUUAAAUUAUACAUAUUACAUAUACAGUGGACAAAGUAUUGAGAUAAACUUUUGUUAUUGACCAAAUACUUAUUUUCCACCAUAAUUUGCAAAUAAAUAAAUUAAAAAUCCUACAAUGUGAUUUUCUGGAUUUUUUUCCCUCAUUUUGUCUGUCAUAGUUGAAGUGUACCUAUGAUGAAAAUUACAGGCCUCUCUCAUCUUUUUAAGUGUGAGAACUUGCACAAUUGGUGGCUGACUAACUACUUUUUUGCCCCACUGUAUUAAUAAAUAAAAUAUAUAUAUGAUAUAGCCUAAUAGUUAAUCCUUUAGUUUCUUGCCCAUUUAGGUUAUGAGAGUGAACUGUCCUACUAGAUGACGGUUCAUUCAGUGUCUUUCAAAAUAGUCACUCCUCUGGAAGCACAUUGUGAGUAUCUCAGCCUGUUUGUGUAUCUGUGUCUGUCUGUCUGUUCAUGUCUGUGUAUCUGUAACCCUGUAUCCAUAUCUCCUCUCUGAAAGGCUCUUUGUGUUCGUACUGAAGUGCUUCCUGCAGGCGAGUCCCUUCAGCAACAGCAGAGUACUCUCCAGUACUGCAAGCCUGGUUGGGGGCCCAGCAGGGAGAUGAUGGGGCCUUCAUGGAGCCUGGUUGGAUCAUCCACACUGAACUUCAGGGAGGCCUGGAUGGUCCCAUAUCUCUCACAACCUACGUCCUCAUGGCGCUGUUGGAGGAUGACAGUUACAAGAACAUGUAUGCGAGCCAAGUUUCCAUAGAUACAGUAUGUGCCUGGCCGCUUACACUCUGGCCCUGGCCAACAGUGAGACCGCAGACCGAGCACUGACACAGCUGAUGGGAUGAGCAGAGAUGAGGGGUAACACUUGGGGAGUUGGAUGGAGAUGGGGAUGGAUGAGACACCUCUGUUCUAAGGUGCUGCAUAUCUAAAAGCAUUUAGGGGCAGCAUUUGGAAUUUUGGAUGAAAAGCAUGCCCAAAUUCAACUGCCUCCUACUCAUCCCCAGAAGAUAAGAUAUGCAUAUUAUUAGCUGAUUUGGAUAGAAAACACUCUGAAGUUUCUAAAACUGUUUGAAUCAUGUCUGUGAGUAUAACAGAACUUAUGUAGCAGGUGAAACCCAGAGGGAAAAACAUUCAGAAUUUGUUUUUUGAAGUCCCUCUCUUUUCAAUGUGUUUUCAUUGGGAAUCCAAUGCAGUGCCUACUGCUUCCACUGGAUGUCACCAGUCUUUAGAAAUUGGUUGAGGUUAUUCCUUUGUGUAAUGAAGAAGUACGGCCGUCUUGAACGAGGGUCACUUCUUGUGUACUGUUUGAUAGAGGCGCAUGACCAGAAAGCAUGCUUCAGUUUGUUUUCUUCCUGUAUUGAACACAGAUUAUCCCGUUUUCAAUUUUAUCAAUUAUUUACUUUAGAAAAUACGUUGUAUUACAAAAGUAGUUUGAAAUGUUCAGAUAAUAGCAUUGUUUGCUUUCGCGGAAAAGCCUUUUUGAAAUCUGACAUGUUGGCUGGAUUCACAACAUGUGUAGCUUUAACUUGGUAUCUUACAUGUGUGAUUUCAUGAAAGUUUGAUUUUUAUAGUAAUUUAUUUGAAUUUGGCACUCUGCAUUUUCUCUGGCUUUUGGCCAAGUGGGAUGCUAUCGUCCCACAUAUCCCAGAGAGGUUUUAAAGAGGACUCACUAGAAAACACUAAAUUGUUAUUUGUUGAUGAAACUUUCUUGAUUUCUGCAUGUCAGUCUGAUACAAAAAUAGUUAUUCUACGUACAGUGCAAGCCUUGUUUCCCAGAUGAUGUUGUUGAGUCGUGCCAGCCGUGCUCCGCAGACAUAGAGAUGGCUACCUACCUGCUGCUCUUCCUGCGCAAGCUUUCUUGGGUGGUGGAUGGGUUCGGCCUCAUGAAGUGGCUCAGCCAGCAGAGGAACCACCUGGGAGGAUACGGCUCCACACAGGGUCAUCUCUGAUCCCAGAUCAUCAGGCUGGGUCAGAACAUAUGCAUUUCAAGGGUCAGUGUGGAUCAGUAUCUGAACCCAGAUCAUUUAGGCUGGGUCAGAAUAGAAGCAUUUCAAGGGUCAAUUUAUGAUUCCAGAUCAGAUAGGUUGGCUCAGAACAUACUGCUUUCCAGUUUCACUUGAAUAGAAUCAAAAGGAACAUUUACAAA
ensembl:lncRNA